rnacentral:rRNA from 1 species
AUUCCAGCUCCAAUAGCGUAUAUUAAAGUUGUUGUGGUUAAAAAGCUCGUAGUUGGAUCUCGGAGGUCUGAGGGCGGUUCGCUUCAGAGCGCUACUGCCCUAUAGACCGUAGUUUUGCCAGAGGUCUCAGGGUGCUCUUAACCGAGUGUCUUGCGAUGCUGGCAGGUUUACUUUGACAAAAUUUUAGUGCUCAAAGCAGGCUUUUACGCCUGAAUAUUCGUGCAUGGAAUAAUAAAAUAGGAAGUCGUAUCUAUUUUGUUGGUUUUCGGAAAUCGACUAAAUGAUUAAUAGGGACAGUCGGGGGCAUUUGUAUUCAAACGACAGAGGUGAAAUUCUUGGACCGUUUGAAGACAAAUUACUGCGAAAGCAUUUGCCAAGAAUGUUUUCAUCA